AUGGCCUGCAUGAUGCUUCUCCUUGGGCUCCUUGCUUAUGGGUCAGGGGUGGAUUCUCAGUCUGUGGUGACCCAGGAGCCAUCACUCUCAGGGUCUCCUGGAGGGACGGUCACACUCACCUGUGCCCUGAGCUCUGGCUCAGUCUCUACCAGUCACUACCCCAGCUGGUACCAGCGGACCCCAGGCCAGGCUCCACACAUGCUCAUCUGCAGCCCAAACACCUGCCCUUCUGGGGUCCCUGGUCGCUUCUCUGGCUCCAUCCUUGGGAACAAAGCUGCCCUCACCAUCACGGGGACUCAGUAG